CAAAAACAUAGCUGUGUGUAUUAUAUUCAGUAAUUUCUGCUCCAUGAGAUAUUAAAUAGCCGCAGUACCCUGACUGUGCUAAGGUAGCAUAAUCAUUUGUCUUCUAAUUAAAGUCUUGUAUGAAAGAAACCAUGGGGGUCCACUUUACCAUUAAUAUAAUAUGAAAUUUCUUAUUGAGUGCAAAUUCUCAUAGUUAAAUAAUAGACGAGAAGACCCUAGAAAUUUAAAAUUUUUUGUUGGGGCAACAUAGUAACAGUUAAUUUACUAUAUGUAUAUGAAAUUAAAUGGUUAAGUUAAAUUACUCUAGGGAUAACAGCAUAAUAUUUGAAUGUUUGUGACCUCGAUGUUGGAUUAGGAAUUUAAGGCUUAAAAGGUUGUAAGAUCUCUGUUCG
rnacentral:rRNA from 1 species